UUGUGCUUUAAAUGAUUUAAUUGAAUACAACAAAUUAUAACAUAUGUUACAACUAGUAUUAUGUCAAUAAAUUAGUGAAAAAAAUUCCAUUUAUUAUCUUUAUGGUAUGGUAGUACUGCAUCAUUGAAUUUUGUCAAUCAGCCAUGCUUUUAUCCUUAAGCUGUGAAAGAACCUCCUUGCAGAUGUAAAUUCACAUGCCAUGUUCACGAUUUUACAACUAGAUGAAAACAACACAAGUUUAAAAUCUAUCAUGUUAGAAUAAUCUUCAGAGAAUACGUUUUUGAUUGGCUUAUUAAUUUGAUUAUGAGAAACAUAGAAUUUGAUUGGUUGAACACGAUUGCCUUGAUGAUUUUCACUAAAUCGUGUUUUAGAGGUUUUUUUAACGAUACCCUUAACAUUAAUAUGUUUUAAUAACUACAAGGACGUAUUAUAAAACAUCCUUGAUAAGAGUAAAGAAAAUGAACACAGGGCGAACGUACUAUACGGGCGAAAGAACUCAGAACGAACAGACCCAGGGCGAACAUGUAAACAGGGCAAGUUGUCCCGAUACCAAAUUCACGCAUGCAUACUACAAAUAUCUAUAUUAAAAACAUCCGGUUACAAGUAAACAAAUAACGUUCAUGUAGAUGAGAUGAAAUCUAAUAAUUUACACAAAUAAAAGGGUAUGUAUUUGCGAUAGUGAUUGUUUUUCUAUCCUAAUUUACAAAUUCAGUGAUUCAGAUGCUCA
rnacentral:lncRNA from 1 species